rnacentral:tRNA from 1 species
GAAAACCUAGUUAAAUAAAUAACAUAGAGUUGUCAACCCUAAAUUAUCAACCUUUUGAUGGUUUUCU